CCCUGGCUCAGGACGAACGCAGGCGGCGUGCCUAAUACAUGCAAGUCGAGCGAAUGAUAGAGAAGCUUGCUUCUCUUGAUUCAGCGGCGGACGGGUGAGUAACACGUGGGUAACCUACCUUAUAGUUUGGGAUAACUCCGGGAAACCGGGGCUAAUACCGAAUAACCUAUUUCACUUCAUGGUGAGAUACUAAAAGACGGUUUCGGCUGUCGCUAUAAGAUGGGCCCGCGGCGCAUUAGCUAGUUGGUGAGGUAAUGGCUCACCAAGGCAACGAUGCGUAGCCGACCUGAGAGGGUGAUCGGCCACACUGGGACUGAGACACGGCCCAGACUCCUACGGGAGGCAGCAGUAGGGAAUCUUCCACAAUGGACGAAAGUCUGAUGGAGCAACGCCGCGUGAGUGAAGAAGGAUUUCGGUUCGUAAAACUCUGUUGUAAGGGAAGAACAAGUACAGUAGUAACUGGCUGUACCUUGACGGUACCUUAUUAGAAAGCCACGGCUAACUA
rnacentral:rRNA from 1 species